rnacentral:rRNA from 1 species
UACGUAGGGGCCAAGCGUUGUUCGGAUUUACUGGGCGUAAAGGGCGUGUAGGCGGCGCGGUAAGUCACUUGUGAAAUCUCUGAGCUUAACUCAGAACGGCCAAGUGAUACUGCAGUGCUAGAGUGUGGAAGGGGCAAUCGGAAUUCUUGGUGUAGCGGUGAAAUGCGUAGAUAUCAAGAGGAACACCUGAGGUGAAGACGGGUUGCUGGGCCAACACUGACGCUGAUGCGCGAAAGCCAGGGGAGCAAACGGG